rnacentral:lncRNA from 1 species
CACCACUCAAGUGUCUCCUUAAGAAUUUGGCUACUCUCUCUCUUUCCCCAGAUCUCAAGCCCAAAAUUCUUAUCAGAUUCUGUACCCAAGAUUGGCCCGCAUAUCCGUUAGAUAAUGAGAAUCAUUGGCCUCCAGAAGGCUCGUUAGAUCCAAACCUUCUUCAGGAUCUUCUUAACUACUGCCUGCGCCUAAAAAAAUGGAGAGAAGUCCCAUACAUUGAAGGUUUUAGCCUUCUCGCCCAACACCCUGCCCUCUGCACUUCCUGCUCUCCCUCUCAGGUCCUCCUUGCUUGUAAACCCCUCCCUUCCCCUACUUCUUCCCCUGACUGUGCAGAUUCUUCCUCAUUUGACCCAGCAGAUGAACCUCCACCUUAUCCCCCAGCCCCAUCCGCCCCUCCUCUCCCGCUACACCCUCCGCUUCUUCCGCCUGAUUCCACCGAUCCUCAGCCUUCUGUUUCAUCCCCCUCCCCCCAGCUCUCUUCCGCCGGUUCCAUCUCCUCCUCUGCUGAGACAUCCCCUUCCCCUCCCUCUACUUCCUGUCCGCCGCCAACUGCCUCUUUCAGUCCUCCUGUCACCAGGUCUAAGGGACCCCCUCCUACUCCCGUGACAAUUGCACCGCUUCCUGAGGUAGCUGGUCCUGAGGGUGUUAUUAGAGUACAUGUGCCUUUCUCCAUGUUGGACAUUACUCAGUUAGAGAGGAAGUUAGGCUCAUUCAUCACUUAUCCCACAACUUACAUUCGGGAGUUCCAGUGGGUCCUGCAGGCAUACAGCCUUACCCAUCACGACAUCUACAUGCUCCUGGCCAAUACACUUCUCCCUGAGGAAAGGCAACGGGUCUGGGAGCUAGCCCAAGCCCAUGCUGAUGAAAAUCAUAGGACCAAUCCCAAC